GACGGUUCCUUCGCUGCGGUUUCGCUAGAUUACAAAUAACAACAGUGGCCCGUCCACCGUGCGAAGUAUGUCCGUUUGUUUUUUUCUUGACAUUUGUAAUUAAUAUUAAUACCCCCCCCCCUCCCCCAAAGAUCCUAUUUACGCCACCGUGCACCAGUUUUGUGAACCGGACCGACGAUAUUUUUAAAAUAAUGUUUUCAGAUAAAAUUACACGUACGUUACACACUUC